rnacentral:lncRNA from 1 species
UCCUGUUAGAAAAUGACAGACUUAAUGAGAAAAGCUUUUGUAAGCAUCUGUUACUGUUCUCAGAUAAAUAGACAUAAAUUGCAUCAAAAGUUAGCAUUGUAAGAAGUUCCCUGUGACAGGGAAAUUUUCGUUGGUUCAGUCCCUAACUCUUUUUAUCAAUUGCCUAAGGCAUCUUUGGGAUUGGAUUCUCGCUAGGUAUUAGUUGGUGAGGUAUCUUAUUGAUGAUGGGUAUGGACCUUUUUAAAGUCAAGCUGAUUAUGUGUUCAAGUUUUCUGUUUUCUUCUGUUUAUUUGAGAUCGAGUGGAGUCCUUUGGAGGGUUAUCAGAAUUGUUUGCUUCUCAAGUCGGUAGCCUCAGUAACAGGGUAGAGAGACUCUUAUGGAGCAAGUUUCAAUUCGCACAUAUUUGUUUUUUUUUUUCUUUUUCUUUUCUUUUCUUUUUUUUUUUUUUUUUGACUAAUUUGGUUAUUUGCCAUUUCUGGGGAUUAAACUUUAAAAAAUGUUCUUCUUUUCUGUAUCUGAUGUUCUGUGUGCUAUUAGUGACGCAGCCAACACGAACGGUUGUCAUGUGUAACACAACUUUCGAUCACCGCGAAAACAGCGUCCUGGGAAAGCGUCCAUGCUUGAUAUCGUUUGGUUCAUGAACAUUAAGUUUCCAGUACAGGUGACCCAUAGCUCAAAGUGUUAAAUAAUUGUCUACAUUAUUCAGUUUUUAAAAUAAUGUUCCAUUAAUGAGAUUGUUAGUCUUUGACAGUUUGGGAGCCAUACCGGCAGCAGCACUGGACCCAAACAUCACAGCACUUGGAGAGAUACCACAGCCACCACUUAUGGGAAAUGUGGAUCCUUCUAAAAUUGACGAGAUUAGGAGAACAGUUUAUGUUGGAAAUUUGAAUUCACAGACAACGACAGCUGAUCAACUACUUGAAUUUUUUAAACAAGUUGGAGAAGUGAAGUUUGUUCGGAUGGCAGGUGAUGAGACUCAGCCAACUCGGUUUGCUUUUGUGGAAUUUGCAGACCAAAAUUCUGUACCAAGGGCCCUUGCUUUUAAUGGAGUUAUGUUUGGAGACAGGCCGCUGAA